rnacentral:lncRNA from 1 species
CCUUGGUUAAUGCACGUGGUAAUAUUGACAGGGAUAACUAUUUGGGGUACCCAGAUGUUCCCGCUGUUCUACCCAGCUGGUGCAGAUAACUGGCUUCCUAGAUUGUGAGGCACACGUUCUUAAUCGAAGGAUGAUGAAAACUAAUGAGCAAAUGACAGCUACAAGUUCUGCCUCAUUCAUUCAGAGUAUUCAAUUGUUUUAGUUUUAAGAAAUUUUUCAUAAUACAAAAAUUUUUAUCACAUCAUCAGUUAUUUCACUAGCAGGACAUUAUACUCAUUGAUUUUUUUAUUGUAGGACUUUUCAGUAACUACAAUUGCUUCAUUAUGGGAGUUAGAAAAUACUAGACUCAUUCAACUUAAUUAUAAGGAGAAAGUAUUCCCUAAUCUGACCACUUAAAUAAAAAAAAAACUGAUUGACAUGCCAGGAAGCCUUUAGUGGAAGUGAUUCAUGAAAAUUAAUAGGUAUCAACCAUUGUCUGUCUCUUUUUGAAAAAAAAAAAAAUUCAUACCUUUGUUAAGGAUUCUUUUGCUCAAUUCAGAUGGAAAUUGGAAAAAGGCAAAGGGCCACUCCCUUAGUUCUAGCGCUCCAACAUCCAGGUGCCAGUGACUCUCUGCUCUUGAUGUUGACGCUCCAGGCUUUGAGUGCCAGUGACUCUUAGCUUUUAGUGUUAUGGCUCUGAGCUUCGGGUGCCAGUAGCUCUCAGCAGUUAGUGUGAUAACUCUGAGCUUCGAGUGCCUGUGGCUCUCGUAUCUCAGAGUAAACCUGUUCCCUGAGUGCCCCUGCUUCCCAACAGCUGGCAUUAACAGCUCUUCUAGCUGCUGCUGGAAACUCCUCAGCAGCCAGAGCUAGCAGCUCUCCCAGUGUGGGGCUAGCGGCUCCCUACAGUCUCCCAUGGCUCUCUGCUCUCAGCCUUUGUCUGGAGCUCGUCAGCAGUGAUCUGCCUGUGAGGCGUUCUCAAGGCUAGCAGCCCUGGUUACCAGCUCUUACUGUGACCAGCUCAGCCCACUAUAACCCAAGAUAGAAAUCAUCUAAAUAAGUCUUUAUUGGGGCUUAUGCUGCAGCACAGCAGGCAGAGUGGUGAAUGGAAGUCCCAGACUGUCCUGAUAAGACUGAGAAAAGUGCUGCUUAUGUAGCAAAAAAAAAAAAAAAAAAACGAUGCCCACAUGUCCACAGUCUCCUGCCUACUAACCUAACCAGACUUUCUUCAGUCCUGCCAGUCUGCAUAGUUGUACUGGCCCAGCUGUCAUGGGGGAGUGGUGCUCCUCAAGGACCAGAGUGAGGACAUCUGAAGAGUAGGCAGAGAUGUCUGGGGUGGUUCAAGGAUGUCCAAGGCUGCCCCAACCAGAGCAGUCUCCUGGAGCCAUGGAGGCCUCUGGAGCAGCCGUCGCUAUCGAGACAGCUCUGUUGGACUGUCAGAGAAGCAGCCACCUGAUUGACAGUUCCUGCAGUUUCCAUGGUAACCAUAACAGCUGCAUGACAGCUGCAGGAGUGCAGAAGUAGCAGCAGCAGCAGGUGGGUUGGGC